rnacentral:rRNA from 1 species
UACGGAGGAUUCAAGCGUUAUCCGGAUUCAUUGGGUUUAAAGGGUGCGUAGGCGGUCGGAUAAGUUAGAGGUGAAAUCCCGGGGCUCAACUUCGGAAUUGCCUCUGAUACUGUUCGGCUAGAGAGUAGUUGCGGUAGGCGGAAUGUAUGGUGUAGCGGUGAAAUGCUUAGAGAUCAUACAGAACACCGAUUGCGAAGGCAGCUUACCAAGCUACUUCUGACGUUGAGGCACGAAAGCGUGGGGAGCAAACAGG